GUAGGUGAGCGGUGUUUCGCUGACGAGUGGCGGACGGGUGAGUAAUGUCGGGGAAACUGGGUGAGUGGGAGGGGGAUAACUACUGGAAACGGUGAGCUAAUACCGCAUAACGUCGCAAGACCAAAGAGGGGGACCUUCGGGCCUCUUGCCAUCGGAUGUGCCCAGAUGGGAUUAGCUAGUAGGUGGGGUAACGGCUCACCUAGGCGACGAUCCCUAGCUGGUCUGAGAGGAUGACCAGCCACACUGGAACUGAGACACGGUCCAGACUCCUACGGGAGGCAGCAGUGGGGAAUAUUGCACAAUGGGCGCAAGCCUGAUGCAGCCAUGCCGCGUGUAUGAAGAAGGCCUUCGGGUUGUAAAGUACUUUCAGCGGGGAGGAAGGGAGUAAAGUUAAUACCUUUGCUCAUUGACGUUACCCGCAGAAGAAGCACCGGCUAACUCCGUGCCAGCAGCCGCGGUAAUACGGAGGGUGCAAGCGUUAAUCGGAAUUACUGGGCGUAAAGCGCACGCAGGCGGUUUGUUAAGUCAGAUGUGAAAUCCCCGGGCUCAACCUGGGAACUGCAUCUGAUACUGGCAAGCUUGAGUCUCGUAGAGGGGGGUAGAAUUCCAGGUGUAGCGGUGAAAUGCGUAGAGAUCUGGAGGAAUACCGGUGGCGAAGGCGGCCCCCUGGACGAAGACUGACGCUCAGGUGCGAAAGCGUGGGGAGCAAACAGGAUUAGA
rnacentral:rRNA from 1 species